UACGGGGGAGCAAGCGUUGUUCGGAUUUACUGGGCGUAAAGGGCGCGUAGGCGGCCACCGCAAGUCGGUUGUGAAAUCUCUGGGCUUAACCCAGAAAGGUCAACCGAUACUGCGGGCUAGAGUGCAGAAGGGCAACUGGAAUUCUCGGUGUAGCGGUGAAAUGCGUAGAUAUCGAGAGGAACACCUGCGGCGAAGGCGGGUUGCUGGGCUGACACUGACGCUGAAGCGCGAAAGCUAGGGGAGCGAACGG
rnacentral:rRNA from 1 species